UAGGGAAUCUUCCGCAAUGGGCGAAAGCCUGACGGAGCAAUGCCGCGUGAGUGAUGAAGGCCUUCGGGUCGUAAAGCUCUGUUGAGGGGGAAGAAUGAUGCAUCCGAUAAUACCGGAUGAGCUUUGACGGUACUCCUCGAGGAAGCCCCGGCUAAUUACGUGCCAGCAGCCGCGGUAAUACGUAAGGGGCAAGCGUUGUCCGGAAUCACUGGGCGUAAAGCGCACGUAGGCGGCUUGGCAAGUCAGGGGUGCAAGCUCUAGGCUUAACCUAGAAAUUGCCUCUGAAACUACCUCGCUUGAGGGUCAGAGGGGAAACUGGAAUUCACGGUGUAGCGGUGAAAUGCGUAGAUAUCGUGGAGAACACCCGUGGCGAAGGCGGGUUUCUGGCUGACAACUGACGCUGAGGUGCGAAAGCUAGGGGAGCGAACGGGAUUAGAUACCCCCGUAGUCC
rnacentral:rRNA from 1 species